CCGCCCCGGCCCAGCGCCCCGCCCGCCCCGGCCCCUCACACGGGAUAGCGGGGAACGAGCUGGGAAAGGUUUUUUUCUCCCUACCUAAUACCUCAGCUAAAACUUCCUUGAGCUUAAUCCUCUUGAGGAAGCCAGAAGACAGAUCAGCUUCCCUGGAGGCCUCCCAAGGCUGAUCCCUGACAGGACUGGAGAACCAGGUGAGAGUCAGGGAACAGGGAAAGGACCAGACAGGAGGCUCAGAGUGGACAGCAGCAGGAAUUUCCCCAUGGAAAGGGAGCUCAGGCACUGGAACUGCCCAGGGAAGUUUGGAGUGCCCAUCCCUGGAGGUGCCCAAGGAAUUCCUGGAGGUGACACUGGGUGCUCUGGGUUGGGGACAAGGUGGGGAUCAGGACUGGACCUUGGAGGGCUUUUCCAGCUUAAAUCACUCCAGGGUUCUAUUACUUUAUUGACAUCUUGUUGCUCAGAUAUUUUCAUCGCUGUUCUGUUGUUUCUCUCCAUGCCUGAAUUAUCUCACAGAGUUUCUAUUUUGCCAUUUUGACUCCAAGAUUUUAAUGUUUCUCUGUGCUUUAUUCACUAGGAUAUGGAAAUGCAGGAUCCAGGAUGUUCUCUAGCCUCAGCACAGCAUCCCCUCUGCUCAGGGCCUCCCACUUUUGUGGAAUUAGAACUUUUGGAGAGGCUUUUAUUAGAAAUACAAACAAGGAAAUGUGGUUUUUUUUUUUUCCUCUCAGCCUCCACGUUUCACCUCAGAUUUUCUCCCUCAAAGCAUUAUAAAAAUAACAAGGGGCCAGAAGCCUUUCAACAAGUUUUGUGUUGAAAAACAACAAAAUAUCACAAAAUACAAAGCCCCAGGUGGUUUUGCAAAGCACAUGAGAAGAUUUCAGUGACCUAUGUGCAUGUUUUGAAUUUAAGUGUGAGCAAGAAGCACAGAACUUCUCCAACAGAGAAAAACUUCAGCCUUUAGGGUUUAUUUAUUUUAAAAAUGUGACAUCAAAGCAAUUCCUUCCACCAAUUAUGCUGGAUACAGUCACAGAGCCUCUGUGUGGCAGAUCAUAAUAAUUCCCUGAUCUCUUACAAAUAAAAAUUCCUAAUCCCCUGCUCAGCUUUUUCGUGAGUCAAUAAUCUCCUGCCUGGUUUUACAUCCAUGUAGAUUAUCUAAGGAGGAUCAGAGCUGCCAGGCUGGUUUGGGGUGGAAGGGAUCUUAAAUCCCAUCCAGUACCACCA